rnacentral:snRNA from 1 species
AUACUUACCUGGCAAGGGAGAUACUGUGAUCAAGAAGGUGGUUCACCCUGAGCGAGGCUCAGCCAUUGCACUCCGGCUGUGCUGACCCCUGCGAAUUUCCCAAAUGUGGAAAUCUCGAUUGCAGAAGUUCUGGUAGUGGGGGACUGCGUUUGCGCUCUCCCCUG